GAUGAACGCUGACAGAAUGCUUAACACAUGCAAGUCUUUGGCGAAGCUGUGCUUGCACAGCCUAGCCAAGGCGGACGGGUGAGUAACGCGUAAGGAACUUGCCCUGCAGUCAGGGAUAACAGACGGAAACGACUGAUAAGACCUGGUAAAGUCAGGCGGACUCAUGUCCAGCCUGAUGAAAAGAGAUGCUGCAGGAGAGCCUUGCGUCCUAUUAGCUUGUUGGUGGGGUAACGGCCCACCAAGGCGAUGAUAGGUAGCCGGCCUGAGAGGGUGGACGGCCACAAGGGGACUGAGAUAUGGCCCUUACUCCUACGGGAGGCAGCAGUGGGGAAUAUUGGACAAUGGGGGCAACCCUGAUCCAGCAAUUCUGUGUGCACGAUGAAGGUUUUCGGAUUGUAAAGUGCUUUCAGCAGGGAAGAAAAAAAUGACGGUACCUGCAGAAGAAGCGACGGCUAAAUACGUG
rnacentral:rRNA from 1 species